rnacentral:pre_miRNA from 1 species
GAAGUACUCUCUUCGUCCGAAAAUACUUGUGAGAGAAAUGGAUAGAAAAUGAUGUAUGUACAAUUAACUAACAUACGUCUAGAUACCUCCAUUUCUUCAACAUGUAUUUCCGGAUGAAGUGAGUAUUAU